CCAAGUCCAAAUCCUGUUAUCCAGGAAGCAGGUACGCAACCAGCAGACCCGUUCUUCCCGCAUCUUUCCAACUCCCCGUCAGUCUCCUACCAUGAGCCGUGAGGUGUGCAUGGCGGCGGCGUGCAUCAGUGGCUAGCCGGCUACAACACGGUGACGGCCUCUCACCACGGCCGCUGCUUCGCGGCGCUCCCUCGACGGUGUCAAUCAGCUUCAGCCCUUGAUCAACUGCGACCUGCACUGGCGCACCAUGUUCCGUUAGCGGCGGGGCAUUUCCAUGAGCCCGAGUGGAGGGAAGGCGGCAAGCCGGCAGCACUUGGAGGUGACGGUCUUCCACGACAGAGGUGCCAUCUGGGUAAUGAUCUGGCGGAUAUUGACAACUUCAGGAAGGAGAUGGCUGCUGACCUUAUUUUUGCUGAGGCAAACGAGGCUUAGGAUGUGAAAAAAGGCAUUCAAGAACUCAUGAAUCGGGAUGAAGACGAUGAUGUAGAUUCUCCAACUAUUUAGUUUAAGUCUUAGUUUGGGUCUCAGUUCCUAUAAAAGGUUGGAGUGGAGAGGCCUAGUUACAUAUUCUUUUUGGCUUGAAUGAAUGGACAUACAUUUUUUUUGCUUGAAUUUCAAUUAGGUCUAUUUAAGAAUUUGAAUGAUGCAUAUUAUUUGUGUGACUCCUUUUGGCUGCUCCCUGAUACUAAACUUUAUGAUCCUGAUCCCUGAUACUAAACUUUAU